rnacentral:rRNA from 1 species
CCUACGGGGGGCAGCAGUGAGGAAUAUUGGUCAAUGGGCGGGAGCCUGAACCAGCCAAGCCGCGUGAGGGAAGAAGGUACAGCGUAUCGUAAACCUCUUUUGUCAGGGAACAAAGGCGGGGACUAGUCCCCGGAUGAGGGUACCUGAAGAAAAAGCAUCGGCUAACUCCGUGCCAGCACCCGCGGUAAUACGGGGGAUGCGAGGGUUAUCCGGUUUUAUUGGGUUUGAGGGGUGCGCAGGCGGCCUGUUAAGUCAGCGGUAAAACCCCGGGGCUCAGCCCCGGCGAGCCGUUGAAACUGGCGGGCUGGAGUGGGAGAGAAGUACGCGGAAUGCGCGGUGUAGCGGUGAAAUGCUUAGAUAUCGCGCAGAACCCCGAUUGCGAAGGCAGCGUACCGGCUCCAAACUGACGCUGAGGCACGAAAGCGUGGGUAGCGAACAGGAUUAGAUACCCUUGUAGUC